rnacentral:rRNA from 1 species
UGAAGCGGGACCGGCUCAAUGUGUGAAUCUGGCUUGGGGUAGUUCCCUGGUCCGAGUUGUGCACUAUGGACGUUUCGUCUGCGUUUGUAAUGGCGGUGGAAGUCCGUUGAAACACGGCACCUCAGAGGGUCACAGUCCUGUACCACCUGCCUGCACUCGCGCCAAUGACAAGCGCUCCUCGAGUCGCGUAGUUUUGUAAUGCUGCGCCAAGUGGGAGGUAGAGACCUUCUAAGGCUAAAUAUGAUGACGUGACCGAUAGCACACAAGUACCGCGAGGGAAAGGUGAAAAGCAACCAUGAAAAAUGGGUUGAAACAGUAGUGAAAGCGCUACCGGGAUAAGGGCUAUUGGGUGCUGGGGCUUCUCGGGUGUGCUUCAGUGCUACCCUUGGAGACGGCCCGCGUGGGUUGAUUGGGGUGAUAAACGCGCCGUUGGAAUUCGGCUGUCUUUGGACAGUGUUGUAGCCUUCGGUCGCCGUCCUCCUGCGAC